GUCAGACCGUGUGUUCUGUCCACUGUUUGGUGUCCAGUUCUGUGCGUCCUCGAAGUUGUUCAACCACUCGCUGUGUCCAGUCAUGUGUGGGAACUGUCCUCCCAAGUGCACCAAGACGUGUGAGAACGGAGGAACGCAGGAUAGUCUCCCUUGCACCUGUGGCUGCCCUGUGGGAUUCUCAGGCGACCAAUGUGAGACGCAAGUGCCCGACUGCGGGUCUGUGACGUGUCUCAAUGGCGGCCUGAUCGACCCCUCCACCUGCGGGUGCUUCUGCCCCCUCCCAGGCAUCUAUACCGGAACACGUUGUGAG